CCUGUCAGUCAGGAAAGGUCCGCAACCUCCCGGCUGUUCUGCUUUUCUCCUCCCUGCCCUCCCAAGUGGGUGCCAGCGGUCGGGAUGCAGCCACAGUGACUAGAGCCGCAUUGUUCGGCCAGGGGCUAGCCUCCCUGGAGGCUGAGCUCUGCGACCAGCUCUGAAGCUGUCAGGUCUCACCUUCUCCCCGGGUCCCGUCCCAGCCACCCCUCAUCACAAGUGAUGUGACCUUCAGACUGAAUACUGGUAAUGCUGCAGGACAGCAGCCGGGAGCCUCCUGACGGGAACCAGCCUGCACCAGGCCAUCACCAGGGAGCUAGAUUGGAAGUGGAAAGACAGGACACAAACUGGCACUACAUGGAUGCUGGCAUCUCAGACAGCAGCUUUGCCCACUAUGCCACAAUUCUGGCUCACUCUUACUCCUUGAAAAUCAUGAUUAUGGGGCUGGCAUUGAGAACCUGACAUGAAGGGCCUAUUCAGGUACUGAUUCAGUGGAAGAACAGCCAAACCUAACAGCAAUGGUGGGAACAGAAGUUCUAAAUGAUGCAAGGAAUCAGUGUGGAAAAUCCCUGGGCAUCCGUAAGUACAGGAAGUUUCCUGCUUAACUCCCCACUUGUCUGUAUGUUCCACCAUCCCUGGAUCAAGUAUAAAUCAGAAGCAGAACUUGAAACUUUCCAAAGCAAAACUUGAACUUGGGUUGAGAAAACUCAGCUGGGUGUGGGAGGGUGGCUCCUCACCGUGAAGGCUGCUUUGAUU